rnacentral:rRNA from 1 species
GAUGAACGCUGGCGGCGUGCCUAAUACAUGCAAGUCGAGCGACCACACGAGGUUCUUGCUCCUCUCACGUUAGCGGCGGACGGGUGAGUUACCCGUAGAUAACCUACCUUUAAGACUGGGAUAACUUCGGGAAACCUGAGCUAAUAUCGGAUAUUCUAUUGAACGGCAUGGUUCACUAGUGAACGUCGUUUUUGCUGUCACUUAUUGAUGUAUCCACGCUGCAUUAGCUAGUUGGUAAGGUAACGGCUUACCAAGGCGACGAUGCGUAGCCGACCUGAGAGGAUGAUCAGCCACACUGGAACUGAGACACGGUCCAGACUCCUACGGGAGGCAGCAGUAGGGAAUCUUCCGCAAUGGGCGAAAGCCUGACGGAGCAACGCCGCGUGAGUGAUGAAGGUCUUCGGAUCGUAAAACUCUGUUAUUAGGGAAGAACAAAUGUGUAAGUAACUAUGCACGUCUUGACGGUACCUAAUCAGAAAGCCACGGCUAACUACGUG